ensembl:lncRNA
GGAGCCUUUCAUUUUACCCAUGAAGCACUGGGUCCUGGAUCUUAUGCUUCGAAUUCCCCAGUUUCCUAAGGGUAAUUUUCCUAUGCUCAGAAGGUAAAGAAACUGCCUGCAAUGUGGAAGACCUGGGUUCAAUCCCUGGGUUGGGAAGAUCCCCCGGAGAAGAAAGGGCAUGGCAACCCACUCCAGUAUUCUUGGCUGGAGAAUUCCAUGGACAGAGGAGCCUGGCGGGCUGCAGUCCACAGGGUUGCAGAGUUGGACACAACUGAGCAACUAACAUG